UAAACUACGAUUAGAUACCCUAUUAUUUUAAAUGUAAAUUUAUAAGACUUGAGUAGUAAUAGUUAUGUUCUUGAAACUCAAAGAAUUUGGCGGUGUUUUAGUCUUUUCAGAGGAACCUGUCCCGUAAUCGAUAAUCCACGUUAAACCUUACUUAUUUUUGUUAUCAGCUUGUAUACCGCCGUCGUCAGAAUGUCCUAAGAAGGUUUUAAUUUUCUUGAAUUUUUAUUAAAAAUGAUGUCAGGUCAAGGUGUAGCUUAUGGAUAAGUGGAGAUGGGUUACAAUAAAUAUAUUUAUAAUGAAUAAAAUCUUGAAACAGAUUUUUGAAGGUGGAUUUGAUGGUAAUUAAAUUAAUUAAAUUAGUUUGAUUUUAGCUCUAAAACAUGCACACAUCGCCCGUCGCUCUUA
rnacentral:rRNA from 1 species